CGAGCGGUAGAGAGAAGCUUGCUUCUCUUGAGAGCGGCGGACGGGUGAGUAAAGCCUAGGAAUCUGCCUGGUAGUGGGGGAUAACGUUCGGAAACGGACGCUAAUACCGCAUACGUCCUACGGGAGAAAGCAGGGGACCUUCGGGCCUUGCGCUAUCAGAUGAGCCUAGGUCGGAUUAGCUAGUUGGUGAGGUAAUGGCUCACCAAGGCGACGAUCCGUAACUGGUCUGAGAGGAUGAUCAGUCACACUGGAACUGAGACACGGUCCAGACUCCUACGGGAGGCAGCAGUGGGGAAUAUUGGACAAUGGGCGAAAGCCUGAUCCAGCCAUGCCGCGUGUGUGAAGAAGGUCUUCGGAUUGUAAAGCACUUUAAGUUGGGAGGAAGGGCAGUUACCUAAUACGUGAUUGUUUUGACGUUACCGACAGAAUAAGCACCGGCUAACUCUGUGCCAGCAGCCGCGGUAAUACAGAGGGUGCAAGCGUUAAUCGGAAUUACUGGGCGUAAAGCGCGCGUAGGUGGUUUGUUAAGUUGGAUGUGAAAUCCCCGGGCUCAACCUGGGAACUGCAUUCAAAACUGACUGACUAGAGUGUGGUAGAGGGUGGUGGAAUUUCCUGUGUAGCGGUGAAAUGCGUAGAUAUAGGAAGGAACACCAGUGGCGAAGG
rnacentral:rRNA from 1 species